AAAGCAGGGGCCGAGGAGCCAGCAGUGGUCCAGACAUGCGCCUGCUCAGACCACAGACCGGUACCUGAGGUGACCCUUGUUGGAUUUGUAGCUCCAAGUGAGACUACGGUCCCUGGAGGCUCCAAGUGCGGUCAGGUUCCUGGAUGCUUCUGCCUCUCCCGGAUGACAAAACCAACUGGAGUUGAAUGGGCUAUUCCCUAGAAUCACCGGCAGCUCAGGCAGGAUACCCUCUCCCAAGCGACAGCUUAUACUUUUCUGAAACAAAGGUCCCUGAAGAUGGCUCUGAUGGUCUUCUUGUAACAGAUGGGAGCAGCUCCCCAUUGUCAUGUUCCAGCACUUACUUCUUACUGGCGCCUGAGACUAGAGGAGGACUGCGUACAGGAAUGGGGCAUGUGUCAAGUCUGUCAGGAGAGGAGCUGUCGCAAAGCCCGUGCACUGUUUUGCAGGAAACAGCCAGGCUCUGGCAAGGCUGCAGCGGAAAUGGAGUCUAGAAUUGUCCCUGGAUUUGUUGUUCUUUUCUCCUGGAAUCCUUGCAGGCUGCAUCCUAGCAAUUGCAAAAGUGGGUGUUCAUGGGUUGGGAUACCAGGAGUUUCUGGCAAGCACCCUUUAGAAGCAAGACUGAAAGGACAUGUUUGAGGUCCUUCUGUGCUAAGACUGCCUGCCAUUGAAGUACUGACUCCAACCCCCUCCAGGCUACUGUUUGCAGCCCAGCUCAGUACUCAAGUCAGGAGCAAUGCCAUAUCUGGGAGUAUGCUGUCAUAAAGACUUCUAUACAAACCAGAAAGGAAAAGAUACUGGGACCCAACUGACCCACUGCAGUGACUCAGAACACUGGGAAGGACCUCAAUCUUGGAAACUCAAGAAGAUGUCCUGAGUUUGCUCUCUGAAACCUCAGUUGUAUGGUGGUCAGACUUGCCCAAUGGGAAUCUGACAGAAUCUGGCUUCAAUCUAGUCAUUUGCUAAUUCCCCAGUGGGAAUUUUCUCUUCUGCUGACUGGAUUGACUUUAGGACUGUUUGGCUUGUAGAAUUUGUCUUCUGGGGUCUGCUAAUAGAGGUCUAUUCUUGGCAGAGUUUCUUUUCCAAGCAGCUGUUUUGAAGAAAGCUGACAUCACCCUCGGCCCUGAGAUUUGAGACUGACUAUGUUGCAUCUCCUCAUCUGCCUGGAUUACUCAGUUCACUUGGCUCUGCUGGCCUCCUUCAGAGAGAUGCACACACACACACACACACACACACACACACCUGGCUGGGAGGCCACCAUGAAUUCACUAAACACAGAUGAAAAUGUGAAUUCUUAGCAUGAUAUUUGUGGCCCCCAAACCCCUUUUCUCUGUCAGAAAUGAAAGUUACCAUGCCGUGGGCCCUGGAGAGAAGCCAGCUGAACUACAGGACAGGUCGCAGGUGCUGGCCUCUCACUGCUGUGUGUGAGACAUCUAGAACAGCCUGGCGUGGAGUAGACACUGCACACAAUGGCUGCAAGUUGCAGACCAGCACUGACCUGAGAAAUGGCAGUUUCCUGCCCUAGCCUCUUCUCUCUGCCUGUCUUCAUUCAUGUGACAAUGCUGAAGAAAGGGUUCGGGAGCCAUCAAACCCUCUCUUUACCACCGUCUCACUACCAGGUGCUGGAAUUAAAGGCAUGGGUCACCAUUACCCAACUGGAUUAAACAUUCUUGAUUAACCUUAAGUAAAAGCAAUAACGUGUAACCAUGAGGAAAUGUUUCACAAGACAGAGAUUCAGGCUUCAGACCCACUUUUCCAUGCGACUGAAGACAGCAGCAGUUUUACUUCUCGGUGCCGUUUGAAAGAAGCCUAGACAAGAGCGGCAUCUUGCAGAAGGAAGGUGUCUCAGUGGGAAAGUGCUUCCUUAAUAGGCAUCCCAGUCCUGUUUUCCAUCCUCAGCACUAUGAGACAAGCAACCAAACACAAAACAAGGACACCUACUCCAAAGGUAGACAGGAAAUUCGCCCCAACAGAAAGGUGUGUGGUUCAACAAUGUCCACAGCAGCUCCGAGCCUACAGGGGAGUAGUGGUUGUCAAUUUGUGCUUUGGCUUGACUUCCUUCCAGCAGAGGUCACUGUGGAUGCUGGCAGUGGACACUUUAGGGAAAAGGAUCAGGUAGGCUUGGCUGACUGGAGUUUCCACUGCCUGGUUCUUUCACAGUCCAUAAUCUAUCCCCUUAAUUUAUGUGAAGGAGAUAAUCUUGAAGCGACCUGAAAAAACUUUGUGGUAAAAGCGAUGGUGGUAGGGAAACUUAGGUCAGUGGCUGGGACUAAUAAGGCUGAGAGGGCUGCAUUCAUCUUCUAGGAAUAUUAAGACAGAGUCUCAUUAUAUAGUUCAGGCUGACCUCUAACUCGUGGCAAUCCUCCUGCCUCAACCUUUCAAGUGCGGGAUUAUAGGCUUGUGGCCACCAUUACUGGCUUGUA